rnacentral:rRNA from 1 species
CUCCAGACUCCUACGGGAGGCAGCAGUGGGGAAUAUUGGGCAAUGGGCGCAAGCCUGACCCAGCAAUGCCGCGUGAAGGAAGAAGGCUUUCGGGUUGUAAACUUCUUUGACAGGGGAAGAGCAGAAGACGGUACCCUGAAAACAAGCCACGGCUAACUCCGUGCCAGCAGCCGCGGUAAUACGGAGGAUGCGAGCGUUAUCCGGAUUUAUUGGGUUUAAAGGGUGCGUAGGCGGAUCGUUAAGUCAGUGGUCAAAUUGGGGGCCUCAACCCCUGCCCGCCAUUGAAACUGGCGAUCUUGAGUGGAAGAGAAGUAUGCGGAAUGCGUGGUGUAGCGGUGAAAUGCAUAGAUAUCACGCAGAACCCCGAUUGCGAAGGCAGCAUGCCGGCUUCCGACUGACGCUGAAGCACGAAAGCGUGGGGAUCGAACAGGAUUAGAUACCCGGGUAG